rnacentral:rRNA from 1 species
GCUGUCGUCAGCUCGUGUCGUGAGAUGUUGGGUUAAGUCCCGUAACGAGCGCAACCCUUGUCCUUAGUUACCAGCACGUUAUGGUGGGAACUCUAAGGAGACUGCCGGUGACAAACCGGAGGAAGGUGGGGAUGACGUCAAGUCAUCAUGGCCCUUACGGCCAGGGCUACACACGUGCUACAAUGGUCGGUACAAAGGGUUGCCAAGCCGCGAGGUGGAGCUAAUCCCAUAAAACCGAUCGUAGUCCGGAUCGCAGUCUGCAACUCGACUGCGUGAAGUCGGAAUCGCUAGUAAUCGUGAAUCAGAAUGUCACGGUGAAUACGUUCCCGGGCCUUGUACACACCGCCCGUCACACCAUGGGAGUGGGUUGCACCAGAAGUAGCUAGUCUAACCUUCGGGAGGACGGUUACCACGGUGUGAUUCAUGACUGGGGUGAAGUCGUAACAAGGUAGCCGUAGGGGAACCUGCGGCUGGAUCACCUCCUUA